rnacentral:rRNA from 1 species
AGGACGAACGCUGGCGGCGUGCUUAAUACAUGCAAGUCGAACGGGGUUACUUUGAAAGCUUGCUUUUGGAGUAACUUAGUGGCGGACGGGUGAGUAACACGUGGGCAACCUGCCCUCUAGUCGGGGACAACAGCUCGAAAGGGCUGCUAAAACCGGAUAUGCUCACACCCGGACAUCCGGGAGUGAGAAAAAGCGAUGCUAGAGGAUGGGCCCGCGUUCCAUUAGCUAGUUGGUGAGGUAACGGCCCACCAAGGCGACGAUGGAUAGCCGACCUGAGAGGGUGAACGGCCACACUGGGACUGAGACACGGCCCAGACUCCUACGGGAGGCAGCAGUAGGGAAUUUUCCGCAAUGGGCGAAAGCCUGACGGAGCAACGCCGCGUGAGGGAUGAAGGUUUUCGGAUCGUAAACCUCUGUCUAGAGGGACGAUAAUGACGGUACCUCUGGAGGAAGCCACGGCUAACUACGUGCCAGCAGCCGCGGUAAUACGUAGGUGGCAAGCGUUGUCCGGAAUUACUGGGCGUAAAGGGCGUGUAGGCGGCCUGUCAAGUCAGACGUGAAAUCCCUGGGCUUAACCCAGGACCUGCGUUUGAAACUGACGGGCUUGAGGAUCGGAGAGGGCAGUGGAAUUCCCAGUGUAGCGGUGAAAUGCGUAGAUAUUGGGAGGAACACCAGUGGCGAAGGCGACUGCCUGGACGACACCUGACGCUGAGGCGCGAAAGCUAGGGGAGCAAACGGGAUUAGAUACCCCGGUAGUCCUAGCCGUAAACGAUGGGUACUAGGUGUGGGAGGUAUCGACCCCUUCCGUGCCGGAGUUAACACAAUAAGUACCCCGCCUGGGGAGUACGGCCGCAAGGUUGAAACUCAAAUGAAUUGACGG